rnacentral:tRNA from 1 species
GGAUUGUGGCUCAGUGGUAGAGUGCACACCUAGCACGUGAGAGGCCCUGGGUUCGAUCCUCAACACCA